UAUUUUCGGAUUUAUGCGUACAAGUAUUGAAAGAUUAAUUGUCCGAAGGAAUCAUCAUAUUUCUAAUUCAGUCUGAUGAGAUGUUGUCGCUCUUUCAAAGUUCUCUAAUCAUUACUUCUACCACCACAGAUGACGUGUUUAAAUGAUCUUUUUAAGUUCCGGAAUGCUGUGCCAGCGGCCUGCAUCACUGACCGGAAUGGAAUGCAUUUAACAUUUUACAUACAGUGAACCGAUACAAGCAUCCAGUUUAACGGACAUCAUUACCUGUUUCGAUGGUUUUAGUAUCAGCCUUGGCUUCUUUGAUUUGUUCCAUCAAUUCCUUCGCAGCCUCCUCGCAGUUGUUGAAGCCAGGUUUACUUACACCAAACAGAAUCAGCAGGAAGAUCGGCGAGAGCUGGAUUUCCAACAUGUAUUGAUCCAGCAGCUCGUGCUUAACUUGCCGCAAAACAAUCGC